CCUACGGGAGGCAGCAGUGGGGAAUAUUGCGCAAUGGGCGAAAGCCUGACGCAGCGACGCCGCGUGAGGGAUGAAGGUCUUCGGAUCGUAAACCUCUGUCAGCAGGGAAGAACGGUCACUGUGCUAAUCAGCAGUGAAUUGACCGUACCUGCAAAGGAAGCACCGGCUAACUCCGUGCCAGCAGCCGCGGUAAUACGGAGGGUGCGGGCGUUAAUCGGAAUUACUGGGCGUAAGGCGCUCGUAGGCGGUAUGUCAAGUCAAGGGUGAAAUCCCCGCGCUCAACGGGGGAACUGCCUUUGAAACUGGCAGACUGGAGUGGGAGAGAGGAGAGUGGAAUUCGAGGUGUAGGGG
rnacentral:rRNA from 1 species